rnacentral:rRNA from 1 species
GUGUCAGCAGCCGCGGUAAUACGUAGACCUCAAGCGUUAUCCGGAUUUAUUGGGCGUAAAGCGCGUGUAGGAGGUUCUGUGCGUCUCAUGUUAAAGCCCACCGCCUAACGGUGGAAGUGCGUGGGAUACGGCAGGACUUGAGGGGGUUAGAGGUGUGUGGAACUCACGGUGUAGGGGUGACAUCCGUUGAUAUCGUGGGGAACACCGAAGGCGAAGGCAGCACACUGGGACCUUCCUGACUCUGAGACGCGAAAGCGUGGGGAGCAAAAAGGAUUAGAUACCCUGGUAGUCC